GUAAUAUAAAAUGCCAUUAUCUUUUUGAUUUCAGCUUCACAGUUGAUGAACAUGUGGAAAUCGGUGGAAGAGUUUGAUGUAGGCGCAGCAGGGACUUACUAAUAAAUAGGCAAAACAGUUUACAGGUGCCACCAUCGUUUAAUCAGACUUGGCUCGAAAGAAAGCUAUACAGAAGACAUAGCAAGAUCGUAGGAUUACAACAACACAAGUCACCAAACACUCCUAUAUAUACAUGUACUUCAACAGAGCAAGUCCCGCACAAGUCUAAAGAGAAGCCUCUGUGAAUUAACCUAUCCAAGAUAGCCUCAAGCUUCACGUGUAGCUCAUAUCAACUUUGUGAGGACCAUGGCGCGGAGAAAGCACUUGCGAUCCUUAUAGGCAGCGCAAAUAUGGUUUCAUCUGCAUUUUGAGAUGAUACUACCUCUGAUUAGAAGAACUCAAGUACCCUUUGGUUCUCUAUGCCGAGACACAUCAUACAACAUUGUAUAGUUGCUUUUCGUGAUGCCUCCCACACCAAACAACUUCUAUAGGUGUUCAAGUAUCCCUUCGGUUGUGGACGAACUAGAAACGAUAAUUGAACUAACAUCUACUUGUGCUUCUGUGCCUCUACUGCAAUAGGAAAAUUCUAGACACAAAGUAAGUUGUUCGGUGCUCCAGGUAUUGGAAGGGAUAGGAAGGGAGACUUGCAUAAAUAAGGAGGGGAGGUGAAGGGCGCAUAUUCAUAUAAGGGGGUUGCGGACCGAACUUGCGGUACUGUU
rnacentral:lncRNA from 1 species